AGAAGGAAAAUGGCCACUGUGAGUCACACCCGGCGGCAGAAGAGGUCCUGGGAUUCGUGGCCACGGGGCCCGCCCCCGGUGGGAGCCCCAGGAGCCCUCGGGGCUCCCAGGCACAGAGACCCGGGGGCUGUACUCACAGGGGGGCCGGCGGCACCGGUAGCACCGUCAUUUCCACGAGCACCCUGCGGGAGAGAGAGGGGUGGCCCCAGUCACGUGCACCGAGUGCUGGCGGGUCCCCGCAACCCCUCAGGAACCCCUUCCAGUGCCCCGGGAUCCCCCCAAGGGGCCAAGAGGACUUACAGCAGGGCCAGGGGCUCCGGGGCGUCCUCUCUCACCAGGCAGACCACGGGGACCCUGACGACAAAAGCCAGGAAAGACGAGUGAGAUCAGAGACACACUCUUCCCCCCAAAUCCCAUCUCGCCCCUCUACCCUGUUCCAUCUCUUCCUUCUAGAACUGGACACACUCACCAUCUGGCCAGGAGCUCCAUUUUCACCGGGGCUACCAGGCUCGCCCUAGAGAACAGAGAAUGAAGUUAGGAAUUUGUUCGUGGUGGGACUGGGUGGUGGGGGCCCCGGAUACUCAGGCAUCCUCUUACCUUGGGACCAGCAGGACCAGCGUCUCCCUUGGCACCAUCCAAACCACUGAAACCCUAAGAUAGGGAAGAAGGGCCAAGGUGAGUGCCGUUGGAAGGGGUGGACCACCUUGGCCCUCAUGUUGACCUGGCACGGUGCCUCAGGGGGUCACCACAGCCACCCCCCUGUCUCUGCACUAGACUAGACCCCAACUGGCCCAAGAUCUCACCCAAUCCUAUGGAGAUUUCUUUCCCAAUGGAGGGAAGUUCUUUUGGAUGUCUACUCUCUAUCCCUUGGGACUUCUGUAGCUGCCACCCCACCUCGACACCCACAGGAGGAUCCUUUGGGGGAAGGGGUAGGAUGGUGGGGUGCUACAAAGGGGACUUACUCUGUGUCCCUUCAUUCCAGGAAGGCCAGCAGUUCCAGGCAAUCCCCGGGCGCCCUGGAGAGAAAAGAAAAGGAGAAAGGCAGGGCCAUUAGAAGACGCCACUGUGGACCCAGUGCCCAAGUGGAGCCCCCCUGUGGCGACGUCCAGGGCCGGCCACGCAUUCCUGCUCACCUGAGGUCCAGGAGGCCCACGCUCACCAGGACGACCAGGCUUUCCAGCUUCACCCUGAGAGGGAGAGAAAAGGCCAUGAUGCCCAUGCCUUGGAAACGGGUGGAAGUGGUUCCUGUUGGAGUGUUCCCACUCGUCUGGCAUCCUCUCUGAAUUUCCACCAUAAACCACCUCUGAAACCACCUCUGAAAUCCCCCCAUAAACCACCACUGGCCCAUCCUGUCUAGAUUCCCACGGGCUCCUCUUCUGUCAUCUCUGCACCCCAGUGGCUCACCAUGGGGCCAGGCACAGAGAUUCCUCCAGUUGACUUCUCAUCGUAGCCGUAAGACAUUUGGGGAGCAAAGUUCUAGAAGAAACAAGAGAGAGGAGAGGGCAUGAGAAAUCAGUGAGUUGAGAGGCAACACAUCACUGACAAUGGGAUAUUGACAUAUGCCUCCUGGCUUGAUGCACUAAGAAAGUCAACAACAUCACUUGUGAGAUAUUCCUGCCCAGAAGGCACGGCCCAACUCCAAUUAUGGGGACACAUCCCGCCAACCUGAGCUGAGGGCCACUAAAAUAAUUGGGCUUUACGAAGCAACUGGCUUCUUCAAAAAACUCCAGGGUCAUGAAAGGCAAAGGAAGUCUGAGGAAUGUUCCAGAGUAAAGGAAACCGAGGAGCUAUGACAAUUAAAUGCAAUUUAUAAUCCCGGAUCCAGAAAAAAGAUGCCACAGAGGGUAUUAUUGGGAUAUUGGUGAAAUUUGGAUAGGGACUGUAUAUUCAGAUCAUAGUUAUGUAUCAGUGUUAACGUUCCGAAAUGUAAUCACUCUACAACGGUCACGUAAGAGAAAGUUCUUGUUCUCAGGAAAUACAACCAAAGCUAAAGUAGUUUGGAGCAAAAGGACACAACAUCAACUGAUUCUGGAACAAAUGGUUCAGAAAGAAAAGUAACGACGAUUAUAUGUAUACAUAGAGACUGACAAAGCAAAUGUGACAAACUGCGAAGGGUAUGUGAGAGUUCUUGGCACUAUUCUUGAAGCUCUUCUGUAAGUUUGGAACCAUUUCAAAAUACAAAGUAUGCCAUCUGCCAAAAAACA